rnacentral:rRNA from 1 species
UGGGGAAUUUUGGACAAUGGGCGAAAGCCUGAUCCAGCAAUGCCGCGUGUGUGAAGAAGGCCUUCGGGUUGUAAAGCACUUUUGUCCGGAAAGAAAUCCUUGGCUCUAAUACAGUCGGGGGAUGACGGUACCGGAAGAAUAAGCACCGGCUAACUACGUGCCAGCAGCCGCGGUAAUACGUAGGGUGCAAGCGUUAAUCGGAAUUACUGGGCGUAAAGCGUGCGCAGGCGGUUUGCUAAGACCGAUGUGAAAUCCCCGGGCUCAACCUGGGAACUGCAUUGGUGACUGGCAGGCUAGAGUAUGGCAGAGGGGGGUAGAAUUCCACGUGUAGCAGUGAAAUGCGUAGAGAUGUGGAGGAAUACCGAUGGCGAAGGCAGCCCCCUGGGCCAAUACUGACGCUCAUGCACGAAAGCGUGGGGAGCAAACAGGAUUAGAUACCCUGGUAGUCCACGCCCUAAACGAUGUCAACUAGUUGUUGGGGAUUCAUUUCCUAGUAACGUAGCUAACGCGUGAAGUUGACCGCCUGGGGAGUACGGUCGCAAGAUUAAAACUUAAAUGAAUUGACGGGGUC